UGGGAUGUGGCUCAGUGGUAGAGCACUUGCCUAGCAUGAGUGAUGCCCUGGAUUCGAUUUCCAGUACUGCAA
rnacentral:tRNA from 1 species